AUUAAUUAAGUAUAAAGGAAUUAAAAAAUAAGAUUAAGGGGACAUAGAGGAGGAGCAGCGACGGUUUUUGCUUUCAUCGUCCGCCAUUUUUGCUUUCAUUUCAGCCAUUUUUGGAAAACAACAAAAACAGAAAUACUUUAGAUGUCAAACUGCAUGUAUAAGGUUGAAAACAUGUGCCAAAUGUUUCACUGAACAUUUUGAGGUAUUAAACAUAAUUUUUGGAUAAUUAUUUAAUUAGUUAUGCCAUUUUCUUUUAACUUUUCUUUUAUGACCAGAACAGAAAA